rnacentral:rRNA from 1 species
UACGUAGGUGGCGAGCGUUGUCCGGAUUUACUGGGCGUAAAGAGCGCGCAGGCGGCUGGUCAAGUCCGAUGUGAAAGCUCCCGGCUUAACUGGGAAAUUGCAUCGGAAACUGAUCGGCUGGAAGGUGGGAGAGGGUAGCGGAAUUCCCGGUGUAGUGGUGAAAUGCGUAGAUAUCGGGAGGAACACCAGUGGCGAAGGCGGCUACCUGGCCCAUUCUUGACGCUGAGGCGCGAAAGCUAGGGGAGCAAACAGG